UGCAGUCGACGACUCUGGUAUUGAUUGGUGCUUGCAUCAUGAUUUACAUUUGAGUGAGUGGCGAACUGGUGAGUAACACGUGGGAAACCUGCCCAGAAGCGGGGGAUAACACCUGGAAACAGAUGCUAAUACCGCAUAACAACUUGGACCGCAUGGUCCGAGUUUGAAAGAUGGCUUCGGCUAUCACUUUUGGAUGGUCCCGCGGCGUAUUAGCUAGAUGGUGGGGUAACGGCUCACCAUGGCAAUGAUACGUAGCCGACCUGAGAGGGUAAUCGGCCACAUUGGGACUGAGACACGGCCCAAACUCCUACGGGAGGCAGCAGUAGGGAAUCUUCCACAAUGGACGAAAGUCUGAUGGAGCAACGCCGCGUGAGUGAAGAAGGGUUUCGGCUCGUAAAACUCUGUUGUUAAAGAAGAACAUAUCUGAGAGUAACUGUUCAGGUAUUGACGGUAUUUAACCAGAAAGCCACGGCUAACUACGUGCCAGCAGCCGCGGUAAUACGUAGGUGGCAAGCGUUGUCCGGAUUUAUUGGGCGUAAAGCGAGCGCAGGCGGUUUUUUAAGUCUGAUGUGAAAGCCUUCGGCUCAACCGAAGAAGUGCAUCGGAAACUGGGAAACUUGAGUGCAGAAGAGGACAGUGGAACUCCAUGUGUAGCGGUGAAAUGCGUAGAUAUAUGGAAGAACACCAGUGGCGAAAGCGGCUGUCUGGUCUGUAACUGACGCUGAGGCUCGAAAGUAUGGGUAGCAAACAGGAUUAGAUACCCUGGUAGUCCAUACCGUAACGAUGAAUGCUAAGUGUUGGAGGGUUUCGCCCUUCAGUGCUGCAGCUAACGCAU
rnacentral:rRNA from 2 species